rnacentral:rRNA from 1 species
AUUGAACGCUGGCGGCAUGCCUUACACAUGCAAGUCGAACGGUAACAGGUCUUCGGAUGCAGACGAGUGGCGAACGGGUGAGUAAUACAUCGGAACGUGCCCGAGAGUGGGGGAUAACGAAGCGAAAGCUUUGCUAAUACCGCAUACGAUCUCAGGAUGAAAGCAGGGGACCGCAAGGCCUUGCGCUCACGGAGCGGCCGAUGGCAGAUUAGGUAGUUGGUGGGAUAAAAGCUUACCAAGCCGACGAGCUGUAGCUGGUCUGAGAGGACGACCAGCCACAGUGGGACUGGGACACGGCCCAGACUCCUACGGGAGGCAGCAGUGUGGAAUUUUGGACAAUGGGAGCAAGCCUGAUCCAGCCAUGCCGCGUGCAGGAUGAAGGCCUUCGGGUUGUAAACUGCUUUUGUACGGAACGAAAAGACUCUGGUUAAUACCUGGGGUCCAUGACGGUACCGUAAGAAUAAGCACCGGCUAACUACGUGCCAGCCGCCGCGGUAAAAC